rnacentral:rRNA from 1 species
UACAGAGGUGGCAAGCGUUGUUCGGAAUUACUGGGCGUAAAGGGCGCGUAGGCGGUCCCGUAAGUUCCGCGUGAAAUCCCCCGGCUCAACCGGGGAAUGGCGCGGAAAACUGCGGGGCUUGAGUUCGGGAGAGGGAAGCGGAAUUCCGGGUGUAGCGGUGAAAUGCGUAGAUAUCCGGAGGAACACCGGUGGCGAAGGCGGCUUCCUGGACCGACACUGACGCUGAGGCGCGAAAGCGUGGGGAGCGAACAGG